AUGGAUAUUUCAAAAGGUAGUCUUUUCCCUCUCCCUCAGGUACAUGCCGGUUGUACAAGGGAAUGUUGUGAAGGCGACUUAAGAACUGGUUGGGUGGCCAGACCAGAUUACCAUUCAAACUCGGACAGCCUGUCGUCCUGUCGUGUUCUCCUGUCUGCAAAGAUCCUCAGACUGCAGUGGCCUGGCUCCCGCUACCCAGGCUCUUCAGCCUCUACUGUGCAGACUGAAGACUGCUCACUCUGGCAAGGCCUUCUUUGCCCUCUCACGCUUCCCCUUGUCCUGCUGAAACCAGCACAUCGGAGCAGAUGCACUCAUGACACAACCAAAAACGGUGAGGGUGCUGGCAAUUCUACACCUGGGCCAAAGUGCCUGGACAGAUUCUGGGGAGGAGGUGUGGGCAAGGAAGGACUGCCCUGCUCUUUCUCUACCCUCUCUGCAAACAAGUAUCAGGCCUGCUGCUGGCUCAGUACCCCUGAGACAAUCAAGAGGUUUCUCCCAGAUCCUUUGCAAGUUACAGCCUCUCUGGGCAGUCAGGGAGGGGAUUUUAGAGUCCAGACAAACUCUAGCCAUGAGAAGCCUUGUGGGUCUCUUGAGUGUUCCUGCUUUAGUCAUCUUUAGAGCAUUAAACACGCCCAAUUUUCUCCCUUUUUAAAAUCUCACAUAGUUUUCCUGUGGCCUAGGAUUUCAGAGCUCCCUUAAUUGCACAUAUGUGGUCUAGGACCUCCAUGAUGUCAAGACAUUGGCUGGGCUACAGUGACACGGAAGAGAUAACUGACAUUAAAGGACCUGCUUCCCAGAUGGCUCAGUGCUGAGGCUGGUGAGUAGCUGGUGGCCCAUGGCAGGAGGCCAGGGUCCCUGGAUGCCUGGCCCCCCUCCAUUUGGCUGCCUGAAGGUUCUCAUGACAGGGUGCUCUGCUGACCAGGUGGUCAUCUUUCCCCAGAAUGGGUCAUUCAAGAGAGAGCAAGAUAGGAGUCUCGGUGUCCUGUAUGUGCUAGCCUUGAAGUCACACUCGUUUUGCACAUUCACUGGUUGUAUGGGUCAGUCCUGCUUAAUAGAGAAAAGGGGAGAAAUGGACAAGGACAUGGGUACCAAGAGGCAAGAGCUGCUGGGAGACACCAUGGCUGCCUACUACUGCCUCCGCCACAGGAAGUGACUAUGGGAAUCCAUCUGCCCUCUAUCUGAAUUCUAAGCGCUCCACAAAUCUGCUGCCCAAGGAAAUGCCAGAGCCCCCUUUUAGACAAGGGAGGAGAGCUCCUGAUGUCUACCUGCCAGCGAGGUGGCACGCAGUGGUACACUCCAGCCACUGUGCUAGUGCUUCAGGGUGCGGUGAGCACGUGGGGGAGUUCAGGAACCCCCAGUCAGUCAGGUGCACGUCAUGGCCUAGAAUGCAACUUCAAAGCCAACCCCACGCCUUGAGAAUCUUCUCGGAAGACUGCUCUAAAAUGGGCGUGUGGCGGCUCCAAAGAGUUAAUAAGGCUGUUUAAGUGUCUGAGUUAUACCUGAGAAGCUCUAGGGAGAAUGUGGCCUCACUGGAUUUCUGCUCUUUUCCUGGAGGGGAAAUAACCUUGCUGACUCAGAUGAGAGUAGAGAGGCUAAUUGUUAGCAGUUGCUGGUUUUACCUUUGGUGGGUAUCUCUGGAAAUCCCAGAGAACCUCUGUUGUUUUUUGCAAAAUAGUCCAAAGUCUGCCAGGGUUGGUGUUGGAUGCCUGUAAUCCUACCACUCUGGGAGGCUGAGGCAGGAUGUAGCUCAAAGUGAAGGCCUGGGUUCAAUCCCCCGUACCACCACCAUCAAAAAAAGUUUAAAAAUUUAAAUUUACUGAAGAGAGUGCUUGCCAGGCUGCGUAUAUACACGGCCUCCAACCCAGAUUUUAGAGAGGAGAAGGGCUAAAAGACUUGCCCGGCCUCUCCACUAGCGAGCGGGGGAAUCAGGAUUCCAACUGUGUGAGUCUGAAGCCACUCUGAGCAUCCCAGCAGAGAAGUGGGCAUAAAUAAAUCACUAAGUGAAGAGAAGGCCUCGAGGCGGCCCUGGCAGGGGAGGCAGGAGAGGAGUCGGAGGGCUGGGGCCGGGCCGAGGGACGUCCGGCUGGCGGUUGGGAUCCUGCCUGUCCCCUAACCCGAGGCCAGCUCUGGGGGAGCAGCAGCGCGUCUCCCUCCUCCUCCGCGGAGCGCCGGCUGGUUAAGGAUGACAGUUUCUCCACCAGGCCCGCUGCUAAGUUAAGCAGCACUUUUUAAAAAAUCGUCUAGGCAUCCCCAGGAGCUGAGCUCUACAGCCCGCCCGAGAGCCGGGGAGCUGAGCAACCUCCUCAAGGUCACAAGGCCCCAGGUACGGGUGCUCUCGGCCCACUGGGACUCGGACUCCGGCCACCGCGC
rnacentral:lncRNA from 1 species